AAACUCUAUCCAGAUCUUCUUAUUGGUCUUUUAUAUCAAUUUCCUCUGGCUAGUGACUUUGCAAUCGUAGAUGAGACUCCAAUGAAGUUUCUUCUUCUUGUGAAAGGUAGUGUUUUUUGUUUCUAGUCUUCUCUUUUUCUCUGUUGCUCUUCUUUUCUUCAUUUGAGGAUGAGUGAUAUCGAUAGCCAAAGAUGGCGAAUACUCCGUCCAUUCAAUUUUCAAAAAAUUCUAAUGAGGAUGUGGGAACUAGUGGGAGGGUUAAUUUAGGUAAAGUGCAGACAAAGCCAAACCCUUGUAAUGCUACUAGUCUUAGCAAAAAGAAAUCUCAGAUGUUGAGAAAAGAGUCACUUCUAAUAGAUGAGGUUCCAUCAGUUCUACUAUCCUCUGAUCUUCUCCGAAUAAGUGAAGAAUUCAAUCUCUCGGGUGAUCUGUUUGAGCUUAU
rnacentral:misc_RNA from 1 species